CCUACGGGAGGCAGCAGUCGAGAAUCAUUCACAAUGGGGGAAACCCUGAUGGUGCGACGCCGCGUGGGGGAAUGAAGGUCUUCGGAUUGUAAACCCCUGUCAUGUGGGAGCAAAUUAAAAAGAUAGUACCACAAGAGGAAGAGACGGCUAACUCUGUGCCAGCAGCCGCGGUAAUACAGAGGUCUCAAGCGUUGUUCGGAAUCACUGGGCGUAAAGCGUGCGUAGGCUGUUUCGUAAGUCGUGUGUGAAAGGCGCGGGCUCAACCCGCGGACGGCACAUGAUACUGCGAGACUAGAGUAAGGGAGGGGGAACCGGAAUUCUCGGUGUAGCAGUGAAAUGCGUAGAUAGCGAGAGGAACACUCGUGGCGAAGGCGGGUUCCUGGACAUUAACUGACGCUGAGGCACGAAGGCCAGGGGAGCGAAAGGGAUUAGAUACCCGAGUAGUC
rnacentral:rRNA from 1 species